rnacentral:tRNA from 1 species
UACAGUGUAGCACAGUGGGUAAGGAACUGGGCUUGUAACCAAAGGUCGCAGGUUCGAUUCUCUCACUGCCGUUGUAC